rnacentral:lncRNA from 1 species
GCCAGGGGAAACCCUCUGUGGUUGGUUCCCUAGUAACAAAGUAAACGAAAGAGAGUAGUGUAAAAUGUGCAGCAACACUUUGCAUGAAAAUACUUUAAGAGAUUGGAAGCUCCUAAUUUGAGUUCGUUUGUGCAAAACUGCAGAUAUGCAGCUUAUUGUUUAUUAAGACCGCUUUGACGUUUCCCUCAGCUCAGUUGCCUCUGCGAGGGAGAGGAGUUCCUAACACCUGCUCAGCCCACACAGCACCACCAUGACCAGCUCCACCUGACUGCUGUGAAAGGCCCCUUUGAGCAGCUCCAAGAUCAGGUGCAGGAAGACCCUUGAUAAUACACAUGUGCACCAGAGACCCUCUAGGUCAGAUGCUGGCACUCUAGAAGGAAGCGUCCUCAAAUUCCUGCUCUGGCUCUCAUGCUGAAGUCUCUGGGAACGCCUUUAUGGGACCUUAGGUACGUUGGCACUGCCUUCUAAACUUAUGUUGUUUCAGUCUGCAUCUCAUGCAUUCCCUAACCCCCAGAAACUAUGAUAUUGUGUUUU